rnacentral:rRNA from 1 species
GCUAAUACCGCAUAAGCCCACGGCCCGGCAUCGGGCUGCGGGAAAAGGAUUUAUUCGCUUCAGGAUGGACUCGCGUCCAAUUAGCUAGUUGGUGAGGUAACGGCCCACCAAGACGACGAUUGGUAGCCGGACUGAGAGGUUGAACGGCCACAUUGGGACUGAGACACGGCCCAGACUCCUACGGGAGGCAGCAGUGGGGGAUAUUGCACAAUGGGGGAAACCCUGAUGCAGCGACGCCGCGUGGAGGAAGAAGGUUUUCGGAUUGUAAACUCCUGUCGUUAGGGACGAUAAUGACGGUACCUAACAAGAAAGUUUUUUUUAACUACGUGCCAGCAGCCGCGGUAAAACGUAGGGUGCAAGCGUUGUCCGGAAUUACUGGGUGUAAAGGGAGCGCAGGCGGACCGGCAAGUUGGAAGUGAAAACCAUGGGCUCAACCCAUAAACUGCUUUCAAAACUGUUUUUCUUGAGUAGUGCAGAGGUAGGCGGAAUUCCCGGUGUAGCGGUGGAAUGCGUAGAUAUCGGGAGGAACACCAGUGGCGAAGGCGGCCUACUGGGCACCAACUGACGCUGAGGCUCGAAAGUGUGGGUAGCAAACAGGAUUAGAUACCCUGGUAGUCC